rnacentral:ncRNA from 1 species
AGGUGCACUUAGCUGUGCUUAAUUGGGAAUGUGAGUGAGAAUCUCCGACUGUCCCGCAGCAGUGAACUCCGUUAUGGCUCCUAAGCAUAAACGCCAUUGAACUUCGUUCGAUGACGUUCACGCUCUGCAAAGCUCAAAUGUAUUCGGCUUUGCUCUCGCUAAAUCACGCCAUUGCCCGUUUGGGUGAGAAGGCGCUUGGGAGUGGAGGAAAGUCUGAAGACCAGCCUUUGUCGGUA